rnacentral:rRNA from 1 species
GUGGGGAAUAUUGGACAAUGGGCGAAAGCCUGAUCCAGCCAUGCCGCGUGUGUGAAGAAGGUCUUCAGAUUGUAAAGCACUUUAAGUUGGGAGGAAGGGCAUUAACCUAAUACGUUAGUGUUUUGACGUUACCGACAGAAUAAGCACCGGCUAACUUCGUGCCAGCAGCCGCGGUAAUACGAAGGGUGCAAGCGUUAAUCGGAAUUACUGGGCGUAAAGCGCGCGGAGGUGGGUCGUUAAGUUGGAUGUGAAAGCCCCGGGCUCAACCUGGGAACUGCAUCCAAAACUGGCGAGCUAGAGUACGGUAGAGGGUGGUGGAAUUUCCUGUGUAGCGGUGAAAUGCGUAGAUAUAGGAAGGAACACCAGUGGCGAAGGCGACUACCUGGACUGAUACUGACACUGAGGUGCGAAAGCGUGGGGAGCAAACAGGAUUAGAAACCCUUGUAGUCC